GGAAGCCGGUGAGAAUCCGGCACGGCCCCGCCACUGUGUGAGGCCCGGCGAAAGCCGGAAGAAGCUCGCUCGACACGCCACUGGAAUCCAGAAGUCGGUUCUGGGAAGGCGAGCUGGGCUGCCUCGAGUCAGGAGAC
rnacentral:ncRNA from 2 species